GAUUUGCGUAAGGGAUAGAAGUGGCAUCCUUUUAUGAAGCCAUAGCGGAAAAAAAGAUACAACGCACAGCCCGACCCGCA
rnacentral:sRNA from 1 species